rnacentral:rRNA from 1 species
AUUGAACGCUGGCGGCAUGCUUUACACAUGCAAGUCGAACGGCAGCACGGGCUUCGGCCUGGUGGCGAGUGGCGAACGGGUGAGUAAUAUAUCGGAACGUACCCAGAAGUGGGGGAUAACGUAGCGAAAGUUACGCUAAUACCGCAUACGAUCUAUGGAUGAAAGCAGGGGACCGCAAGGCCUUGUGCUCCUGGAGCGGCCGAUAUCUGAUUAGCUAGUUGGUGAGGUAAAGGCUCACCAAGGCGACGAUCAGUAGCUGGUCUGAGAGGACGACCAGCCACACUGGAACUGAGACACGGUCCAGACUCCUACGGGAGGCAGCAGUGGGAAUUUUGGACAAUGGGCGCAAGCCUGAUCCAGCAAUGCCGCGUGAGUGAAGAAGGCCUUCGGGUUGUAAAGCUCUUUUGUCAGGGAAGAAACGGUAGAGGCUAAUAUCCUUUGCUAAUGACGGUACCUGAAGAAUAAGCACCGGCUAACUACGUG